rnacentral:rRNA from 1 species
GACGAACGCUGGCGGCGUGCUUAACACAUGCAAGUCGAACGGAAAGGCCCUGCUUUUGUGGGGUGCUCGAGUGGCGAACGGGUGAGUAACACGUGAGUAACCUGCCCUUGACUUUGGGAUAACUUCAGGAAACUGGGGCUAAUACCGGAUAGGAGCUCCUGCUGCAUGGUGGGGGUUGGAAAGUUUCGGCGGUUGGGGAUGGACUCGCGGCUUAUCAGCUUGUUGGUGGGGUAGUGGCUUACCAAGGCUUUGACGGGUAGCCGGCCUGAGAGGGUGACCGGCCACAUUGGGACUGAGAUACGGCCCAGACUCCUACGGGAGGCAGCAGUGGGGAAUAUUGCACAAUGGGCGGAAGCCUGAUGCAGCAACGCCGCGUGCGGGAUGACGGCCUUCGGGUUGUAAACCGCUUUCGCCUGUGACGAAGCGUGAGUAACGGUAAUGGGUAAAGAAGCACCGGCUAACUACGUGC